UGAUCCGAUCCUUUGUUUAUAAAUUAUUUUUUGAAAUGUUUUUACAAUUAGAAUUGUCCUGCUGAUUUCAAAGUCUUAUUGUAUUUUAAUGUAAUUAUUUGCAAUUUUUGACAAUUUCAUAAUUUUAUUGUUCUACUUUCUGUCAACCUGAAAAUGUUGUUUCUUAUAAAGUUUAAUAUGUUUUACAAAUGUGGUUCUUUCAUAGAAAUGUGUUUCAUUUGUGAAGCUGCUUUUGAAAGAAUCUUUGGUUGAAUAAAGCAAAUGUUUGCUCAAUUAUGAUUGAAAUUUUAUUGUUCAUGUUGUUAAUUUAGACAAUUAUUCUGUGAAGAAUUUUAUUGACAACGCGUUUUUACCAGGAAAAAUUGCUCGACUUGAAGGAUCUGGCUCAGUCUUGUUUGGCAUGAAUUUACAGACAUUCUCUUCAGUAGAACUUGCAAUGAUAAUUAUCAAACUUUAAGGAUGGCAACUCAUUUUACUGGAAAGACAAUUAAUUGUGAUAGUUUCGUUGGUUUGAGACUCACUGCACAAACAAUCAAGAGAGAUGGAAACAAGUGAAAGCCUAAAAUACAGUCAUCAUGAACAAUUCUUCAUUGUGGAACAAUUGGGAACAGUUUACAUUAUGAAGCUUCCAUUAUGUUGCUAAAAAAAUGAAAAUACUUCCAAAACAUUUCUCUAUCUUUUAUCAUCGCCACCAUCAUCCUUCUCAUCAUUAUUUCCUUUUGUAUAGUUAAUAUAAUUGUAUCAUUUUAUGUGUCUACCUGGGUGGGGAUAUUUACUGUUAUCAUUAGUUUUUACUGGAUUUUUUUCCCACUAGUUAUUGUUUUGAUUUGUUUUGUUGAAUGGUAAUGCCAAUGAUCAAACUUAUGGUCCAAUAAAUCUUUUCACUAAAUCAUGA